rnacentral:other from 1 species
UGUACCCUGCUGUGUUCGUGAUAUUGCCCUUACGUUUUGAGCCAACACCCUAAUAACGGGUCCUUAUCUCGAGGAAAUAACGCGAUAGGCCUGAGCCAAGGCGGCGUUUCCGGGUCGGGACCCACCUGCGAAAGCAGGUUCAAAACCCAGCAGUACACGGCAUAAGCGGGGUUCCG